UUUUGUUUGAUUUCUGGCUAGAAGCUAAUCCCGCCCUGUUAAGGAUCCUUCACGAUCGCCCUUGGUUCCGCUUCUGAAUCAUCGUCGUCUUCACUUGAUUCUCCGAUGACUGCUUCAACUUGCAACGGCAGCAGCAUCUCUUCUUCAUUACAUUGCUUGAUUCUGUCAGAUCCGCCAUAAAAAACGACGACUGUAAGCGUUUCUUUAGUUACUCAAUCUAUCAAAAUUUCCGAGUUCACUUUGAUUCUUUCUCACGAUUCUUCAAUACCAGGUCUCUCUCUCCCUCUCUCUUUCUCUCAUAGUGUAUUUAUUUUUGUUUGUAUGUAUGUUUAUGCGUUUUAGAUUUAGUUUCACUUUCUGGUUUGAUUUUGGUUUCUUCCUUGCAUAUUCGAAGAAAGUAGAUUAAGAUUGUGGAGUUUUGAAGCUCUCGUGUAGUGUUUCAUUUUCUCCAACUAUUUUUCAGCGAUUGAAAAUUGAUUCAGAUAUUGAUUUGAAAGUUAGAAUUUAUAUCGCUACAUGAAGGAGAUUGAAGGAGAAGGUGCUUGACUUUCUAAUUUUGUAUGAUCAAAACGUGCGAAUACUUUGGUAGAUUAUGUAGAACAGGAUUAUAGCAACGAUAGAAGAUAUAACUAUCAAAGGAGAGCAAAGGAUUAGAAAAAAUAUAGCACCUGAAAAUCCAAGUUAUUUAGGGAUGGAGAAAGAUUUAGGGUUUAAAUUCCCUUUCAAGCGAGGGAGAGAGAGAGGUAAGAACAGAGGCUAAUAACUUUUUUUUAAUUCUAUUAAAUUCAUCGUGCGGAAAUAUUCUCUGUCCUUUUUCUUUUACCUUUUUCUUCCGGAGGACGACGGACGUCGCGAAUCUUAGUUCGUUUAAGCGCCGCGGCGAGGAGCUGAAACAGAGGGGAGGAAAUUAACAAAGACUCCAAAAUCGAACCGCGUCAAUUUUAUCGGAGUUCUAUCGUCUACUAGAAAUAGAGCUCAACGAGCUCCUGGCGGCGGCGGUGGCACCAAAUCGUACGGUAAGGAUAGAAUGCUAUUGUAAUUAGCACAACUGUCCUCGGAAAAAUAAGGGAAAAGGAAAGAAAAGGAAUCGGGGAAAAAUUGGAAAUAAUAACGAUAGGAGCAAUGGAAGAUGCGGUGGUAAUUGGAGGAUUGAUGGCGGUGCAGUUCAUAUACGCCGGAAACUCGGUAUUGCUGCGUUAUUUAAUGUCGUUAGGGCUCAAUCCGUUUACCGUCGUCAUUGUUAUUGCCUCUGCAACUUUUUUCCUUCUCUGUCCUCUUCUCCGGCUCUAUAUCUUUUUCUCGCAGAUGAAUUUGAUGAACGAUGUGCAUACCGAGGAGCAUUUGGCUCAAGAAAUUGAGUUUCAUGUUGCUACUUCAGCAUGUUCUGAUCUCCUUUCGCAGAGGAAUAGUGAUUGGCAUAAGCUUGAGGUUCAACGGAUGGGCACGAAGAAAAGAGGGACAGUUUUGGUGUCAAUUUUCAGGCCAUUGGAAUGGAACAGUUUUCUCCGUCAUUCUCUCUGUCUCCACCUUAGGGAACACUAUUAUUUCCAUUUGAAGUGUUUUAGGCGUGGGGACACUACUUUGAUUGCAAGCCAAGAAUUUCAUUAGUACCAAAGUUUGUUUCAAUUGAUUUCUUCUUCAAAAUCAACCUUAUACGGAAAAAGAUAGAGCUUCAAAACAAAGACUCCUAAGAGCUUUGUAGGAACUUGUCUCGAAUAGGAGGAGAAUCUCAUUUAAAUGAGUGAAGAGAGAUUUUUCUCUGAAGCUAAAUGAGGAUGGGGACGGAGAUUACAUUUAUCGUCUCCGUCCUCAAUCUCAACCACGCCCCAAUUUAAGUCUCCGCCUGACCUAUCCCAUCGACAUCUCUAGUAAAUGGGUGUUAAAAGAUUGCAUAGUAUAUUGGGCCUAGUCUGAAUCGUGGGGCCUCAUGUUGGUGGAAAAGCCCACCUGCUCAACUUUUAUGGAUCUGAGCUCUCCCCCAUCACCAAACAUUGUUUUUUUUAUUAUUAUUUUAAAAAUUAAUUAUUUAUUAUUGAGGUGACUUUUUA